AUUGAACGCUGGCGGCAGGCCUAACACAUGCAAGUCGAGCGAGCGGCGGACGGGGGAGUAAAGUAUGGGGACUGCCCCAGAGAGGGGGGGAACUAUAGGAGAAGGUGGCGAAUAUCGCAUACGAUCUGAGUACGCAUAUGGGAUUAGCUAGUAGGUGAGGGAAUGGCUCACCUAGGCGACGAGCCCUAGCUGGUCUGAGAGGAUGAUCAGCCACACUGGGACUGAGACACGGCCCAGACUCCUACGGAGGCAGAAGUGGGGAAUAUUGCACAAUGGGCGCAAGCCUGAUGCAGCCAUGCCGCGUGUAUGAAGAAGGCCCUAGGGUUGUAAAGUACUUUCAGUCGGGAGGCGUUACCGACAGAAGAAGCACCGGCUAACUCCGUGCCAGCAGCCGCGGUAAUAC
rnacentral:rRNA from 1 species